GACGAACGCUGGCGGCGUGCCUAACACAUGCAAGUCGAACGGAAAGGCCCUGCUUGCAGGGUGCUCGAGUGGCGAACGGGUGAGUAACACGUGGGUGAUCUGCCCCUUACUUUGGGAUAAGCCUGGGAAACUGGUCUAAUACUGGAUAGGACCAUGCUGUAGGUGGUGUGGUGGAAAGAUUAGUUUCGGUAAGGGAUGAGCUCGCGGCCUAUCAGCUUGUUGGUGGGGUAAUGGCCUACCAAGGCGUCGACGGGUAGCCGGCCUGAGAGGGUGGACGGCCACAUUGGGACUGAGAUACGGCCCAGACUCCUACGGGAGGCAGCAGUGGGGAAUAUUGCACAAUGGGCGCAAGCCUGAUGCAGCGACGCCGCGUGGGGGAUGACGGCCUUCGGGUUGUAAACUCCUUUCAGCCAUGACGAAGCCCUUGUGGUGACGGUAGUGGUAGAAGAAGCACCGGCUAACUACGUG
rnacentral:rRNA from 1 species